rnacentral:lncRNA from 1 species
GGGAGCUGUAGACCGGAGCUGUUCCUAUUCGGCCAUCUUGGCUCCUCCCCCACCCCCGUAUUAUCUUAAAAAUUAGAUUGUUUUCUGCUGGUUGCUUUCUGAAAUUCUACUGGACCUAAUGCCAAAAGAUGAUCAAGAGGAGCAUGAAAAAAUCCCCUGAAUCCAUUGGCUUUCUUCCCUAUACUGACAACAGUUUACUUGUGUAAGAGAUGCAUGCCUCGACUCCGGACCCCUUCUUUCAUCUGCAAAAUCAGCAGCACCCUCACAUCAUCUCCUGUAACAAACUCUCUCUGUCUCCUCCAUAUAAGGUCACUGAUGGUUACAUUUAGGGUCCAUGAUAUAAGAAGAUGGAUGUCUAUUGCUUUUCUCUUGAUAUUCAUGGCACUGCUCCUCUCCAUCCAUAGGAUUAUCUUAUAGAUGAGGGUCUCAUCCUUUUGCCCAGGCUGGAGUACAG